GUUUAUGGUUAUACCACCCUGAAAGUGCCCAAUCUCAUCUGAUCUCAGAAGCUAUGCAGGGUUGGGCCUGGUUAGUACUUGGAUGGGAGAUGAGAGACCAAGAUCUUGAAAUA
rnacentral:rRNA from 1 species